CUUUUCCCCAUUUACCACCAAGAUAUCUAGAAGUCGUAAUCCUACUGUCUGUACUAUCCUCGGCAUUGGUGUAGAUCCUCCCAGGAGUUAUCUUUGCCGAUGUGGUAACUGACAGAUUUCCUUCGGUUCCGGAUUUGUCGUGGGGCCAGUCAGAUUCCGGCAUGAUUUUGAAACCAAUAUCUGAGGUCAGAGAUAAAACGGGAUCCACAGAUUCUGGGACUUGGGCAAAUGUGAGGAACGCAUCACUGAUGAGGACUCUGGGGGUAGG
rnacentral:lncRNA from 1 species